rnacentral:piRNA from 1 species
AAGCACAGGUAUGGUGCUGGUCCCUUCCAC